AAAGUCGUAACAAGGUUUCCGUAGGUGAACCUGCGGAAGGAUCAUUAUCGUGGGGCUUCGGCCCUAUCGUGAUAGAACCCUUGCCUUUUGAGUACCGUCCGUUUCCUCGGCAGGCUCGCCUGCCAAUGGGGACCCCAAUAAACCCUUUUUAUGUACCUGUAUCAGUCUGAAAAACAAACAAAAGUUAAAACUUUCAACAACGGAUCUCUUGGUUCUG
rnacentral:misc_RNA from 1 species